UGGAGGUUUUACAAGAGAGGACGGAGGGAGAGCUACAGAAAAGGAGCCACUAAGUUGUGCAUCAAGCUAAAUCAGCUGGGGAGAGAUAGAGAGAAUGUUCUGAAUGUUACUGUUAUUGUGUACUGUCAUUUGGACAAUUGUAUUUUGAUGCUUUGAAACUUUAUUGCCAAUAAAGCCCUUUGAACUGAAAUGGAUUUAGUGAGAAAGAAAAUGGAGAUAUGUCUCACUGCUGCGUUUCAGAAUUUUGCUCAUUACUGACUGAUGAUUAAAAACAAAAAAAAAACUGCAUCCAUGGUAACUGCAAAAACAAUUACUUUAGAUCCAGCGUCUAAUUGAGACUAGCCUUUAUUUAUCAGAACGUGUGGAUAUACCUGGCCAGUAAAAGGGACUCGGCUGUUAAAUAAAGGUUUAGGUAAGUGCAAAUUUUUCAAAUUCCAUCAUCACUGAGUAUUUCUAUGACGUCAUGUCACAUUACCAUACCUCGGCUUUUGCUGAAACAACGCCCCUGAUACAAACCCGUUUCUAAACACUUGAAUCUGCACACACAGACUCACACAUUUCAACCCCCACUACAGUCAGACACACACACACGAAAUCACACCAGCAUGACUGUCUUUCUCUCUUCUCCUUUACCCUCUGCAUGCCGAUUGUGUUUUACAGGUACGGUUUGUUAUUGUGUCACUACACAUAAACAGUCUCUGCUUCAGUCUCUCUUCCAAUAUUAUGGAAGGAUCACAGUUAAUCAACACAAGUGACUCUGCCUCUUAAUUUAAAGCAACUGUUUGUGCUCCUUUUUCGAUACUUGAGCAAUGCUUGUAAAUUAACCGUAAGAAACCAGUCGCCCGGCCAUCAAAUGGAAGCAAGUCAGUUGCUGAUGCCCAAUUUGACCCAAAAAUCAUUAUAUUCAAAGCAUCAGCAGCACGCAGCAGGACCCUGACAUUAGAGGCAGAGGCAGUGUGUCAGGAGUGGCAACGUCUGAUAAACUACCUGGGCUUACUUGAUGGAGCAAAUCCUGGUGCUGCAACAAAAAAAAUGCUCUGCUGAAUGGGGACUUGUGAUCUUUGAGCUAAAUUCAGCCUGAGGCUUGGAAAGCUCCCCUUCCAAACAUUAAAGCUCUGCAGAACAAUGAUUGGUAGGCUAUUACUGUAAUAGAGACUAACUACAGUUUAUGUCAGUCUUUGAUUUUCAUAUAAAUGUAGUUUCACGGUAAAAUCGUAAUCGAAAAAUAAAAGGCUUU